UACGUAGGGGUCGAGCGUUGUCCGGAUUUAUUGGGCGUAAAGAGCUCGUAGGCGGCGUGUCACGUCGGUUGUGAAAGCCCGGGGCUUAACUCCGGGUCUGCAGUCGAUACGGGCAGGCUAGAGUUCGGUAGGGGAGAUCGGAAUUCCUGGUGUAGCGGUGAAAUGACGCAGAUAUCAGGAGGAACACCGGUGGCGAAGGCGGAUCUCUGGGCAGUAACUGACGCUGAGGAGCGAAAGCGUGGGGAGCGAACAGG
rnacentral:rRNA from 1 species